rnacentral:lncRNA from 1 species
AAGUACCUUAAUUUCAAUGCAGCCUUUGUGUAUUUUUUUAAUUACUGAAUUCAGCCCAGUAAUCAAUCCUGCAGCAUGUGUGCCUACCACUUAAAAAGUGAACCUAAGAAGGGAAAAAAUCAAUAUCUUGUGCUUUGCCGUCAAAAUUGUCCAUAUUUCUGCAUAUAAUCUGAAAUCUAUGGGUAAAGCAAGCACCUGAUCACCACAAUUAAUUGUGUAAGAUUUGUAAUUCAUGACUGUGUAUUGGAGGAACUUUAAACUGAAUUUUUCUUCUCAUUUCAGUAAAUGUUCCAUCAGACUCCACCUGAAAACUUCCACACAUCACCUGGAGUGUUUCAAAGGCCAGGGAAGAAAGCUCCCUCCAGCCCUGCAGCCUCCAAGCUGAGCUCCAGCUGCCCUGAGGGAUGCACUGCCCAGUGCUCCUGCUAAAGGUGAGCAAUAAUGGCUUUAUUUGAGAAAUAUCAGACCAGGAUUGUAGCAUUUCUCAUUUUCCAGAGCCUUUUCUGAGUGUGAGCUGCUCCACACAGUUUUACCAGCAGCAGGAAG